AGGGCACCACCAGGAGUGGAGCCUGCGGCUUAAUUUGACUCAACACGGGAAAACUCACCCGGCCCGGACACUGGAAGGAUUGACAGAUUGAGAGCUCUUUCUUGAUUCAGUGGGUGGUGGUGCAUGGCCGUUCUUAGUUGGUGGAGCGAUUUGUCUGGUUAAUUCUGAUAACGAACGAGACUCUAGCCUACUAAAUAGACUGUUCAGCUUUAUAGCCGGAAUCACCGGGCAUGUAGCUCUCACGGGUUGCAUGUUCGGCUCUGGUGACGUUGGCAGUGCUCCUUAGAGGGACAGGUGGCGGUUCAGCCGCACGAAAGAGAGCAAUAACAGGUCUGUGAUGCCCUUUGUUGUCCGGGGCCGCACGCGCGCUACACUGAAGAGAUCAGCGUGCUUUACGUUCCUGCUCCGACCGGAGUGGGGAACCCAGUGAACCUUCUUCGUGAUUGGGAUAGAAGAUUGUAAUUAUUCUUCUUGAACGAGGAAUUCCCAGUAAAUGCGAGUCAUAAGCUCGCGUUGAUU
rnacentral:rRNA from 1 species